GGUGAUCCCGGCCCGGCGCAGCCGGACGCCGGCGCCGAGGCCGCCGAAGCCGGAGCCGAUGACGGCGACCCGCACGUGCGGGACGGGCGGGUCGGUG
rnacentral:tRNA from 1 species